UUCGCCCUUAGAGUUUGAUCCUGGCUCAGGACGAACGCUGGCGGCGUGCUUCACACAUGCAAGUCGAACGGGGAUAGAGCGCAGGCUUGCCUAUGCUCUUCCCUAGUGGCGGACGGGUGAGUAACACGUGAGCAACCUGCCCGACAACCCGGGAUAACAGCGGGAAACCGUUGCUAAUACCGGAUACACCAGUAUUAACGCAUGUUAUAACUGGGAAAGGGUUUACCGAUGUCGGAUGGGCUCGCGACCCAUUAGCUUGUUGGUGGGGUAAUGGCCUACCAAGGCUGCGAUGGGUAGCUGGUCUGAGAGGACGAUCAGCCACACUGGAACUGAGACACGGUCCAGACUCCUACGGGAGGCAGCAGUGGGGAAUAUUGCACAAUGGGCGAAAGCCUGAUGCAGCGACGCCGCGUGGAGGAUGAAGGCCUUCGGGUCGUAAACUCCUGUCUGGGGGGAUGAAUUUUUGACAGUACCCCCGGAGGAAGCCCCGGCUAACUACGUGCCAGCAGCCGCGGUAAUACGUAGGGGGCAAGCGUUGUCCGGAAUUACUGGGCGUAAAGCGCGCGUAGGUGGCUUGUUAAGUCAGGUAUCAAAAUGCGGAGCUCAACUCCGCAGCGCACUUGAAACUGGCAGGCUUGAGUGCAGGAGAGGAAAGUGGAAUUCCUAGUGUAGCGGUGAAAUGCGUAGAUAUUAGGAGGAACACCAGUGGCGAAGGCGACUUUCUGGACUGCAACUGACACUGAGGCGCGAAAGCUAGGGGAGCAAACAGGAUUAGAUACCCUGGUAGUCCUAGCCGUAAACGAUGGGUACUAGGUGUUGGGGGUGACAAUCCUCCAGUGCCGCAGUUAACGCAUUAAGUACCCCGCCUGGGGAGUACGGCCGCAAGGCUGAAACUCAAAGGAAUUGACGGGGGCCCGCACAAGCAGCGGAGCAUGUGGUUUAAUUUGAAGCAACGCGAAGAACCUUACCAGGGCUUGACAUCCCUCGAAAGCUGUAGAGAUACAGUUUCUUUUUUGAGCAAGGAGACAGGUGGUGCAUGGUUGUCGUCAGCUCGUGUCGUGAGAUGUUGGGUUAAGUCCCGCAACGAGCGCAACCCCCGUUGUUAGUUGCCAUCAUUAAGUUGGGCACUCUAGCGAGACUGCCGGUGACAAAUCGGAGGAAGGUGGGGAGGACGUCAAAUCAUCAUGCCCCUUAUGUCUUGGGGUACACACGUACUACAAUGGCUGUUACAGAGGGAAGAUAAUUCGCGAGGAGGAGCAAACCCCUAAAGGCAGCCCCAGUUCGGAUUGCAGGCUGAAACUCGCCUGCAUGAAGUCGGAAUUGCUAGUAAUGGCAGGUCAGCAUACUGCCGUGAAUAAAAUGCCGGGCCUUGUACUCUCCGCCCGUCA
rnacentral:rRNA from 1 species